rnacentral:miRNA from 1 species
UUCGCAAGGAUUCCUCAAGAUC